UGGGAAGUAUUGGACAAUGGGAGGACCUUGAUCCAGCCAUGCCGCGUGUGUGAAGAAGGCCUUAUGGUUGUAAAGCACUUUAAGCGAGGAGGAGGCUCUUUUGGUUAAUACCCAAGAUGAGUGGACGUUACUCGCAGAAUAAGCACCGGCUAACUCUGUGCCAGCAGCCGCGGUAAUACAGAGGGUGCGAGCGUUAAUCGGAUUUACUGGGCGUAAAGCGUGCGUAGGCGGCUUUUAAGUCGGAUGUGAAAUCCCGCAGUAUACUUGGGAAUUGCAUUCGAUACUGGGAAGCUAGAGUAUGGGAGAGGAUGGUAGAAUUCCAGGUGUAGCGGUGAAAUGCGUAGAGAUCUGGAGGAAUACCGAUGGCGAAGGCAGCCAUCUGGCCUAAUACUGACGCUGAGGUACGAAAGCAUGGGAGCAACA
rnacentral:rRNA from 1 species